CGCGUGGAAACAUACCUUUUGCUUCGGAAUAUUCCCGGGAAACUGGGAGCAAUACCGAAUGUGCCCUGAGGGGGAAAGAUUUAUCGGCAAAAGAUUGGUCCGCGUUAGAUUAGGUAGUUGGUAGGGUAAAGGCCUACCAAGCCUACGAUCUAUAGCUGGUCUGAGAGGAUGAUCAGCCACAUUGGGACUGAGACACGGCCCAAACUCCUACGGGAGGCAGCAGUGGGGAAUAUUGGACAAUGGGCGAAAGCCUGACGCAGCCAUGCCGCGUGAAUGAUGAAGGUCUUAGGAUUGUAAAAUCCUUUCACCGGUGAAGAUAAUGACUGUAGCCGGAGAAGAAGCCCCGGCUAACUUCGUG
rnacentral:rRNA from 1 species